GCCGGGGGUGGUCCCACAACGAGCUCGCGCCCGGUCCAAGGACAGCGGCGGCUUCACCCUGGCCACUGCCUCGAGAGCCUGUUCCCGAACCCCGGCCAUCGUCACCUUGGCGGUCUUGGCCCUGAGCAUCGUGGUGCUCAUGACGAUCACACUGGUCCAGACCCACCACUCCGAGCUCAUCCCUCCCAGGGCUGAAGUAUGGUGUCGUGCUGGACGCAGGGUCAUCCAGAACCACGGUGUACGUGUACCAGUGGCCAGCAGAGAAGGAGAACAACACCGGCGUGGUCAGCCAGACCUUCAAGUGCAGCGUGAAGGUGAGGGCACGGGCGGCCACUCUGCUCAGCCACUCGGGCCCCGUUCCUGCCUCCCUUGCCUCAGUUUUCCUCUGUGAAUAGGGGAGUCCAGGCUUCACUGCCUCACCUCCGUGCAGCUGGCAGCAGCCUCCCGGUCCC
rnacentral:lncRNA from 1 species